AUAGGGGUGUCAAAAUGGGUCAAA
rnacentral:siRNA from 1 species